GUAUCCUGGCUCAGGACGAACGCUGGCGGCGUGCCUAAUACAUGCAAGUAGAACGCUGAAGGAGGAGCUUGCUUCUCUGGAUGAGUUGCGAACGGGUGAGUAACGCGUAGGUAACCUGCCUGGUAGCGGGGAUAACUAUUGGAAACGAUAGCUAAUACCGCAUAAUAUUGAUUAUUGCAUGAUAGUCAAUUAAAGGUGACAAUUGCAUCACUACCAGAUGGACCUGCGUUG
rnacentral:rRNA from 1 species